UAUGACGCGUAAUUUGCAACAGCAUCCUAGGUUGUAACGCGCUGGCCAAUCAGAGUACGCUCUUUGAAUUUACAAUCGCGCGCCAGGCCUGACGACCGUUGACCUUGCUUCGCCAACCGCCAUGACAGUACUGCUGCAUGUGUCAUGUGUGUUCCAGCAACGUGCAAUCGCCGUCGUUUUACUGAAAUAUCAGACCAAUGGGCUCAUGACCAAGUGAUUGAAGACAGUUCAUCAAUGAUGGCCAGAGUCAGAGUGGAACCUGAAGACAGCAGGUGACGGGACAAAUAUGUCUUUUCAAUUAAAACAGCGAGUAUCCAAGAAACUUCAGAAUGGCAAGGUGAUGGAUGUUGCUUGGUUGCUGAUUGUUGCAUCUCCUGCCAAGUUUGCGCCAGAAAGGAGACGUGAUGGAGGGACACGCCUGGGACCCAUUCACCUUCAUCUUAAGUCUUACCGUUGUACGGUCAUUACUUAAAAUACAACAGUAUCAAAUAUUUUAAUACACAUAUCUGAAUAAUUGAUCAAUGUUCUCUUCUUGGGUGACUGUUAUUUUUCCAUAAGUGUUCAACAGGGAAAGGUUCUCAAGUUAUGGAAACUCAACUACUGUCUUUAAAGGGAAUAUACA